CAGCCAAGCAGAUGGGGCUGUACCUGUGAGAGUGUGUCACCCGUGGGUGGAGUGUGCAGUGAUCAGAUGUUGGUCGGUCUCAGCCAAGCUAGGUCCUGGGGCCACAGGAGGAUCCCUGCAGCCUGUUGCAUGAAUCAAUCAACCUUCCCUGGAACACAGCCAGGCCCAUUUGUUUAAAUAAUAAUGCACUAAACAAGGCAGCGGAGCGGUGGGCUGGCCUCUGGGAGAGGUGACACAGCAGCUUUUAGUUGUCACAACACUCGUUUCCCAAGCACAAAGAGAAACCAAAGGACGCGCAGAGGAAAGGUGGUCUCCCGGCUGGGGAGGACCUGGGAUGUGAGGGAAGAGGGAGGGAGGGAGCAGGGAUGCAUGAGCCCGGCUCUGGGGCUCCUGCACCCCUCAAGGCAGGCUGAGGCCGGCCUCGCCCUGGUUGCAUCACCCAGGACGCCCUGGGGAUCUCCAGGCCACCGUGGCAGCCGGGCCCCUGAUGCAAUCCACGGCUGUCUGGCAGCAUGACCUGCCCCGGUCAGCCUGGACUCUGCCCUGCCUGGGGGCCCAGCCCUGACCACAGCCUCCAGCGAUCCCUCCCUUCCCAGGGUCUGUUUACAGGCGCUUGGAGCAUCAGGCGCAUUUCUAUCAUGAACUCACAGGGUGGUGCCCAGCGAGUGUCUCUGAUCUGUAAACUGGGUGUGGUGGCAUCUACCCUGUCUGUGGGGUUGCAGGAGGAAGCCACACGCAUGUGGGGAGCCAUGCCAGGCACACAGUGGAUGCAACAGGGGAGUUGCUCGUUCUGACCGUGUUCACCAUGUCUCUGAUGCGCAUCUUCUCACGUGAAAUCAGCAUGUGUCUUAAAAUGGACAGAGUAGAAGUUCAACUAGCAACAUUGUGUGCUUCCUACUGGCACAUACGUGAAUGGCAAGUUAAUGGUGGGUGUGUUGUGGACGGCACCCAGGUUGGAAGGAAAGCAGUUAAGUAUUGCUACGAAGCUCAGCUGCACAGCAUGUCACAGAACCCAUCCAGGCUGGGGCUGGAGAGUGCUUUGUGAACCAGAAUUGGCAAUGAUGCUUGGGUGGGCUGGGCCCUGCACUUCCAUCUCCCACCGGGUUAGGUGCCCCAGAACAGGUCUGGGGUGCGCCAGGGGCUCUGAAUCCCCUCAUCCAAGGCUGCCAGGGGACCGGGCUUUCCUGCCAUCUCAGGGACUCUGAGGAGCCAUCGGACAGUCGGAGGGAGAAGAGAGCAAGUGAGGAAGUCACCUCUGGUAUAACUGACAUGAGACUUAGAUAGUUGGGGUCAAGGUGGAUGUAGGGGCACUUUAGCGUUUGGAAGCUCUUUUCCUCUUGGUAUUGAAUAGAGUCCCACUGUCUGGAUGCACCCCGCUGACCCACCCACUCACCGACUGCAGGGCGUCCCGGUUGCUGCCAGGUGAAAUAGGGGCGGGGACAAUCCAGGGACAUCUUUCCCAGCAUGCAUGAACCAGAAAUAACACCAGCGUGUCUGAGAAGAAACGGUGAAGAAAUCCACCCUGGC
rnacentral:lncRNA from 1 species